AUUGAACGCUGGCGGCAUGCUUUACACAUGCAAGUCGAACGGUAACAGGUUAAGCUGACGAGUGGCGAACGGGUGAGUAAUGCAUCGGAACGUGCCCGGUCGUGGGGGAUAACGCAGAGAAAGCUGCGCUAAUACCGCAUACGAUCUAAGGAUGAAAGCGGGGGACCGUAAGGCCUCGCGCGAUCGGAGCGGCCGAUGUCAGAUUAGGUAGUUGGUGGGGUAAAGGCUCACCAAGCCAACGAUCUGUAGCUGGUCUGAGAGGACGACCAGCCACACUGGGACUGAGACACGGCCCAGACUCCUACGGGAGGCAGCGGUGGGGAAUUUUGGACAAUGGGCGAAAGCCUGAUCCAGCAAUGCCGCGUGCAGGAAGAAGGCCUUCGGGUUGUAAACUGCUUUUGUACGGGGCGAAAAGGUCUCCUCUAAUACAGGGGGCUCAUGACGGUACCGUAAGAAUAAGCACCGGCUAACUACGUGCCAGCAGCCGCCGUAA
rnacentral:rRNA from 1 species